GCCCCGCCCGAGACUCGAACUCGGCUCUUCCGCUUGGGAAGCGGACAUUUUACCCCUAAACCAGCGACGCU
rnacentral:tRNA from 1 species